rnacentral:lncRNA from 1 species
GUACUAAUAUUUCAUAUUCAUUGAGUAUGUCAUAUUUAUCUCUAAGUGCUAUGAGGUUCUCCUCAGUCAAGAUAGAUCCUUCUAUCUCUAGACCAAGGUAGUCCGUGAGACUACACAUGGAAGAUUCCAUGCUAUGAUUUGAACUUUCCUCGCCUAACAUGUCGGUCUCAAGGUCUCGAGAUGCGUUUCCUAGCUCUAUGGCU